rnacentral:rRNA from 1 species
CUACGGGGCGCUCCAGUUAGGAAAAUUUUGCAAUGCGCGCAAGCGUGACAAAGUAAGCCAGAGUGUUUUUCUAUCAUAGAAAAACUUUUGUUAACUGUAAAAAGGUUGAUGAAUAAGGACUGGGUAAGACAGGUGCCAGCCGCCGCGGUAAUACCUGCAGUCCAAGUCGGAGCCACAUUUAUUGGGUCUAAAACAUCCGUAGCUUGUUUUGUAAGUUUCUUGUUAAAUCUUAUAUCUCAAGUAUGAGGCAGCAAGAAAUACUGCAAAGCUAGAGUCCGUCAGAUGUGAGAAGAACUAUUGAGGUAGCGGUAAAAUGUGUUGAUCUUAAUAGGACUAACAAUAGCGAAGGCAUCUCGCAAGGGCGGUUCCGACAGUAAGGGAUGAAGGCUAGGGGCGCAAAACGGAUUAGAUACCCGAGUAGUC